rnacentral:rRNA from 1 species
UACGAAGGGGGCUAGCGUUGCUCGGAAUCACUGGGCGUAAAGCGCACGUAGGCGGCUUUCUAAGUCAGGGGUGAAAUCCUGGAGCUCAACUCCAGAACUGCCUUUGAUACUGGAGAGCUUGAGUCCGGGAGAGGUGAGUGGAACUCCGAGUGUAGAGGUGAAAUUCGUAGAUAUCAAGCAGAACACCUGCGGCGAAGGCGGCCUUCUGGACGAUGACUGACGCUGAGACGCGAAAAGCGUGGGGAGCAAACAGG